rnacentral:rRNA from 1 species
GAUGAACGCUGGCGGCGUGCCUAAUACAUGCAAGUCGAGCGAACAGACGAGGAGCUUGCUCCUCUGACGUUAGCGGCGGACGGGUGAGUAACACGUGGAUAACCUACCUAUAAGACUGGGAUAACUUCGGGAAACCGGAGCUAAUACCGGAUAAUAUAUUGAACCGCAUGGUUCAAUAGUGAAAGACGGUUUUGUUGUCAUUUAUAGAUGGAUCCGCGCCGCAUUAGCUAGUUGGUAAGGUAACGGCUUACCAAGGCAACGAUGCGUAGCCGACCUGAGAGGGUGAUCGGCCACACUGGAACUGAGACACGGUCCAGACUCCUACGGGAGGCAGCAGUAGGGAAUCUUCCGCAAAGGGCGAAAGCCUGACGGAGCAACGCCGCGUGAGUGAUGAAGGUCUUCGGAUCGUAAAACUCUGUUAUUAGGGAAGAACAAAUGUGCAAGUAACUAUGCACGUCUUGACGGUACCUAAUCAGAAAGCCACGGCUAACUACGUG